rnacentral:rRNA from 1 species
AUUGAACGCUGGCGGCAGGCCUAACACAUGCAAGUCGAGCGGAUGAAGGGAGCUUGCUCCUGGAUUCAGCGGCGGACGGGUGAGUAAUGCCUAGGAAUCUGCCUGGUAGUGGGGGAUAACGUCCGGAAACGGGCGCUAAUACCGCAUACGUCCUGAGGGAGAAAGUGGGGGAUCUUCGGACCUCACGCUAUCAGAUGAGCCUAGGUCGGAUUAGCUAGUUGGUGGGGUAAAGGCCUACCAAGGCGACGAUCCGUAACUGGUCUGAGAGGAUGAUCAGUCAAACUGGAACUGAGACACGGUCCAGAAUCCUACGGGAGGCAGCAGUGGGGAAUAUUGGACAAUGGGCGAAAGCCUGAUCCAGCCAUGCCGCGUGUGUGAAGAAGGUCUUCGGAUUGUAAAGCACUUUAAGUUGGGAGGAAGGGCAGUAAGUUAAUACCUUGCUGUUUUGACGUUACCAACAGGAUAAGCACCGGCUAACUUCGUG